AUUUAAAUAGCUUAUAUUUAGAGCAUAACAUUGAAGAUGUUAUUGAAGUUUUAAACUUUUAAAUA
rnacentral:tRNA from 1 species